rnacentral:rRNA from 1 species
UACGUAGGGGGCAAGCGUUAUCCGGAUUCACUGGGUGUAAAGGGAGCGUAGACGGCGACGCAAGUCUGGAGUGAAAGCCCGGGGCCCAACCCCGAGACUGCUCUGGAGACUGCGUCGCUGGAGUACGGGAGGGGCAGGCGGAAUUCCUGGUGUAGCGGUGAAAUGCGUAGAUAUCAGGAGGAACACCGGCGGCGAAGGCGGCCUGCUGGACCGUGACUGACGUUGAGGCUCGAGAGCGUGGGGAGCAAACAGG